UUAUUUCUUAUCCGUCUGUAGCAACAGAGUCGGAGAGUUUCUUGGAAUAUGCUGGGCUUAGUCCUUGUUUGACUUGCUCUAUAAAACCUAACAAAUAAACCCCAUUUCUUUGUGCAUAAGCAAAAACUCAAAACUCUCUUCAACAAGAAAUUUCAAUUAUGAGUUACUACAAUCAGCAGCAACCCCCUGUUGGUGUACCACCACCACAAGGUUAUCCACCAGAAGGUUACUCUAAAGAUGCAUACCCACCACCAGGGUAUCCUCAGCAAGGGUAUCCACCACAGGGUUAUCCUCAACAAGGGUAUCCACCUCCACAGUAUGCACCUCAGUAUGGUGCUCCACCUCCUCAACAACAUCAACAGCAAUCUAGUAGCACUGGAUUAAUGCAAGGAUGUUUGGCUGCUCUGUGCUGUUGCUGUCUCUUGGAUGCAUGCUUUUGAGGGUGUAAAUGAUCUGUGCCAUGUGUUGAUGGCAAAAGUUUAUUGAAUCAAUUAUAUCAUAGUCUAGACUUUUUUCUUUCUGUGUUUUGUCCUAUACUUACUUUGAUAAAUAAUUUGAUCUUUGAUGUGCUCAAGAUUCCAAAGUGUUUGUUUUGCCAAAUUAUAGGUGGUUGGUUAUGUACAAUGUGACAGAUUCUAUUUUUAUUUUUUUCAAUGUUUUGGACCUCAAAAUAUUAUAUGUGAAUCAAUGCACCUUGCUCUGGUUACAAAUU